UACGGAAGGCAGCAGUGGGGAAUAUUGCACAAUGGGCGCAAGCCUGAUGCAGCCAUGCCGCGUGUAUGAAAAAGGCCUUCGGGUUGUAAAGUACUUUUCAGUCGUGAGGAAGGUGUUAAGGUUAAUAACCUUAGCAAUUGACGUUAGCGACAGAAGAAGCACCGGCUAACUCCGUGCCAGCAGCCGCGGUAAUACGGAGGGUGCGAGCGUUAAUCGGAAUUACUGGGCGUAAAGGGCACGCAGGCGGUUAAUUAAGUUGGAUGUGAAAUCCCCGGGCUUAACCUGGGAAUGGCAUUCAAGACUGGUUAGCUAGAGUCUUGUAGAGGGGGUAGAAUUCCAUGUGUAGCGGUGAAAUGCGUAGAGAUGUGGAGGAAUACCGGUGGCGAAGGCGGCCCCUGGACAAAGACUGACGCUCAUGUGCGAAAGCUGGGGAGCAAAACAGGGAUUAGAUACC
rnacentral:rRNA from 1 species